rnacentral:rRNA from 1 species
GAUGAACGCUGGCGGCGUGCCUAAUACAUGCAAGUCGAGCGAACAGAUGAGGAGCUUGCUCCUCUGACGUUAGCGGCGGACGGGUGAGUAACACGUGGAUAACCUACCUAUAAGACUGGGAUAACUUCGGGAAACCGGAGCUAAUACCGGAUAAUAUAUUGAACCGCAUGGUUCAAUAGUGAAAGACGGUUUUGCUGUCACUUAUAGAUGGAUCCGCGCCGCAUUAGCUAGUUGGUAAGGUAACGGCUUACCAAGGCGACGAUGCGUAGCCGACCUGAGAGGGUUAUCCGCCCCCCUUGAACCGGGGCCCCGUUCAGGCCCCCACGGGAAGCCGCCGGUGGGGAUUCUUCCGCAUUGGCCAAAGGCCUAACGAGCCACCGCGCCUUGAGUAUUAAGGUUUUUCGAAUCGUAAACUUUUUUAUUUGGGAAGAACAAAUGUGUAAGUAACUAUGCACGUCUUGACGGUACCUAAUCAGAAAGCCACGGCUAACUACGUG